rnacentral:rRNA from 1 species
GUGAGGAAUAUUGGUCAAUGGGCGGCAGCCUGAACCAGCCAUCCCGCGUGAAGGAAGAAUGCGCUAUGCGUUGUAAACUUCUUUUUCUGGGGAAUAAAAUCCUGUACGAGUGCGGGACUGAAGGUACCCAGGGAAUAAGCAUCGGCUAACUCCGUGCCAGCAGCCGCGGUAAUACGGAGGAUGCGAGCGUUAUCCGGAUUUAUUGGGUUUAAAGGGUGCGUAGGCGGGGCGAUAAGUCAGUGGUGAAAACCUGCAGCUUAACUGUAGACUUGCCAUUGAUACUGUUGUUCUUGAGUAUGGUCAAGGCAGGCGGAAUGUGUAAUGUAGCGGUGAAAUGCUUAGAUAUUACACAGAACACCGAUAGCGAAGGCAGCUUGCUGGGCCAAUACUGACGCUGAUGCACGAAAGCGUGGGGAUCGAACAGGAUUAGAAACCCUUGUAGUCC